rnacentral:rRNA from 1 species
UGAGGAAUAUUGGUCAAUGGACGAGAGUCUGAACCAGCCAAGUAGCGUGCAGGAUGACGGCCCUAUGGGUUGUAAACUGCUUUUGUUUGGGAAUAAUCAACAUUACGUGUAAUGUUUUGCAUGUACCAUUCGAAUAAGGACCGGCUAAUUCCGUGCCAGCAGCCGCGGUAAUACGGAAGGUCCAGGCGUUAUCCGGAUUUAUUGGGUUUAAAGGGAGCGUAGGCUGUUUGUUAAGCGUGUUGUGAAAUGUAAGAGCUCAACUUUUAGAUUGCAGCGCGAACUGGCAGACUUGAGUGCGCACAACGUAGGCGGAAUUCAUGGUGUAGCGGUGAAAUGCUUAGAUAUCAUGACGAACUCCGAUUGCGAAGGCAACUUACGGGAGCGCAACUGACGCUAAAGCUCGAAGGUGCGGGUAUCGAACAGG